rnacentral:rRNA from 1 species
AAAUUGAAGAGUUUGAUCAUGGCUCAGAUUGAACGCUGGCGGCAGGCCUAACACAUGCAAGUCGAACGGUAACAGGAAACAGCUUGCUGUUUCGCUGACGAGUGGCGGACGGGUGAGUAAUGUCUGGGAAACUGCCUGAUGGAGGGGGAUAACUACUGGAAACGGUAGCUAAUACCGCAUAACGUCGCAAGACCAAAGAGGGGGACCCUCGGGCCUCUUGCCAUCGGAUGUGCCCAGAUGGGAUUAGCUAGUAGGUGGGGUAACGGCUCACCUAGGCGACGAUCCCUAGCUGGUCUGAGAGGAUGACCAGCCACACUGGAACUGAGACACGGUCCAGACUCCUACGGGAGGCAGCAGUGGGGAAUAUUGCACAAUGGGCGCAAGCCUGAUGCAGCCAUGCCGCGUGUAUGAAGAAGGCCUUCGGGUUGUAAAGUACUUUCAGCGGGGAGGAAGGGAGUAAAGUUAAUACCUUUGCUCAUUGACGUUACCCGCAGAAGAAGCACCGGCUAACUCCGUGCCAGCAGCCGCGGUAAUACGGAGGGUGCAAGCGUUAAUCGGAAUUACUGGGCGUAAAAGCACCCGACAGUUUGUUAAGUCAGAUGUAUGUAAUCCCAAUCAACACGAGACUGCAUCUGAUACUGGCAAGCUUGAGUCUCGUAGAGGGGGGUAGAAUUCCAGGUGUAGCGGUGAAAUGCGUAGAGAUCUGGAGGAAUACCGGUGGCGAAGGCGGCCCCCUGGACGAAGACUGACGCUCAGGUGCAGCAGUAGAACAAACAAGGAUUAGAUACAGUAGUCCACGCCAUGCAGCAAUGUCGGCGGAGGUUGUGCCCUUGAGGCGUGGCUUCCGGAGCUAACGCGUUAAGUCGACCGCCUGGGGAGUACGGCCGCAAGGUUAAAACUCAAAUGAAUUGACGGGGGCCCGCACAAGCGGUGGAGCAUGUGGUUUAAUUCGAUGCAACGCGAAGAACCUUACCUGGUCUUGACAUCCACGGAAGUUUUCAGAGAUGAGAAUGUGCCUUCGGGAACCGUGAGACAGGUGCUGCAUGGCUGUCGUCAGCUCGUGUUGUGAAAUGUUGGGUUAAGUCCCGCAACGAGCGCAACCCUUAUCCUUUGUUGCCAGCGGUCCGGCCGGGAACUCAAAGGAGACUGCCAGUGAUAAACUGGAGGAAGGUGGGGAUGACGUCAAGUCAUCAUGGCCCUUACGACCAGGGCUACACACGUGCUACAAUGGCGCAUACAAAGAGAAGCGACCUCGCGAGAGCAAGCGGACCUCAUAAAGUGCGUCGUAGUCCGGAUUGGAGUCUGCAACUCGACUCCAUGAAGUCGGAAUCGCUAGUAAUCGUGGAUCAGAAUGCCACGGUGAAUACGUUCCCGGGCCUUGUACACACCGCCCGUCACACCAUGGGAGUGGGUUGCAAAAGAAGUAGGUAGCUUAACCUUCGGGAGGGCGCUUACCACUUUGUGAUUCAUGACUGGGGUGAAGUCGUAACAAGGUAACCGUAGGGGAACCUGCGGUUGGAUCACCUCCUUACCUUAAAGAAGC